UACAGAGGGGGCAAGCGUUAUUCGGAAUUAUUGGGCGUAAAGGGCGCGUAGGCGGCUUGGCAAGUGGAAGGUGAAAUCCCUCGGCUUAACCGAGGAACUGCCCUCCAAACUGCUUUGCUUGAGGCCGGGAGAGGCGAGUGGAAUUCCCAGUGUAGCGGUGAAAUGCGUAGAUAUUGGGAGGAACACCAGUGGCGAAGGCGGCUCACUGGACCGGUACUGACGCUGAUGCGCGAAAGCGUGGGGAGCAAACGGG
rnacentral:rRNA from 1 species